UACGGAGGGGCGAGCGUUAUUCGGAAUUAUUGGGCGUAAAGGGCGCGUAGGCGGCUUGAUAAGUCAAAGGUGAAAUCCCUCGGCUCAACUGAGGAACUGCCUUUGAACUGUCUGGCUUGAGGCCGGGAGGGGUAGCGGAAUUCCCAGUGUAGCGGUGAAAUGCGUAGAUACUGGGAGGAACACCGGUGGCGAAGGCGGCUACCUGGACCGGUUCUGACGCUGAUGCGCGAAAGCGUGGUAGCAACAGG
rnacentral:rRNA from 1 species